GAUGAAGAACGUAGCGAAAUGCGAUACCUGGUGUGAAUUGCAGAAUCCCGCGAACCAUCGAGUCUUUGAACGCAAGUUGCGCCCGAGGCCACCCGGCCGAGGGCACGCCUGCCUGGGCGUCACGCCAAAACACGCUCCCACCCCCCCUCACCGGGGGAGCGGGACGCGGCGUCUGGCCCCCCGUGCCGCGAGGCGCGGUGGGCCGAAGAUCGGGCUGCCGGCGUACCGUGCCGGGCACAGCGCGUGGUGGAUCUCUACUCGGCGCAGUGCACCCGGCGCGUAGCCGGCGCAGCGGCCCCUAAGGACCCAACGAACGGAGCGCGAGCCGCUCCGACCGCGACCCCAGGUCAGGCGGGACUACCCGCUGAGUUUAAGCAUAUCAAUAGCGGAGGA
rnacentral:misc_RNA from 1 species